GACGAACGCUGGCGGCGGGCUUAACACAUGCAAGUCGAACGGAAAGGCCCUGCUUUUGUGGGGUGCUCGAGUGGCGAACGGGUGAGUAACACGUGAGUAACCGGCCCUUGACUUUGGGAUAACUUCAGGAAACUGGGGCUAAUACCGGAUAGGAGCUCCUGCUGCAUGGUGGGGGUUGGAAAGUUUCGGCGGUUGGGGAUGGACUCGCGGCUUAUCAGCUUGUUGGUGGGGUAGUGGCUUACCAAGGCGUGGACGGGUAGCCGGCCUGGGAGGGUGACCGGCCACCUUGGGACUGCGAUACGGACCAGACUCCUACGGGAGGCAGCAGUGGGGAAUAUUGCACAGUGGGCGGAAGCCUGAUGCGGAAACGUCGCGUGCGGGAUGCCGGCCUUCGGGUUGUAAACCGCUUUCGCCUGUGACGAAGCGUGAGUGACGGUAAUGGGUAAAGAAGCACCGGCUAACUACGUG
rnacentral:rRNA from 1 species